rnacentral:rRNA from 1 species
CAGUAGCCGCGGGAAUACGUAGGUGGCAAGCGUUGUCCGGAAUUAUUGGGCGUAAAGGGCUCGCAGGCGGUUUCUUAAGUCUGAUGUGAAAGCCCCCGGCUCAACCGGGGAGGGUCAUUGGAAACUGGGAAACUUGAGUGCAGAAGAGGAGAGUGGAAUUCCACGUGUAGCGGUGAAAUGCGUAGAGAUGUGGAGGAACACCAGUGGCGAAGGCGACUUUCUGGUCUGUAACUGACGCUGAGGAGCGAAAGCGUGGGGAGCGAACAGGAUUAGAUACCCCGGUAGUCCCUGUCUCUUAUAC